AUACAGAGGGUGCGAGCGUUAAUCGGAAUUACUGGGCGUAAAGCGCGCGUAGGCGGUCUAUUAAGUCAGAUGUGAAAUCCCAGGGCUCAACCUUGGAACUGCAUUUGAAACUGGGUAACUAGAGUUUAGUAGAGGGAAGUAGAAUUUCAGGUGUAGCGGUGAAAUGCAUAGAUAUCUGAAGGAAUACCAGUGGCGAAGGUGGCUUCCUGGCCUAAAACUGACGCUGAGGUGCGAAAGCGUGGGUAGCAAACGGGAUUAGAAAUCCCAGUAGUCC
rnacentral:rRNA from 1 species